rnacentral:rRNA from 1 species
AUGAGCACCACAGGGAAGUCGUCGUGGCCGGAGCUGCUUGGCUGGCCAGUAAGGCCGGCGAUGCUCACGGUAAAGAACGAGAGGCCGGAGGUCUCCAUAGACCAGCUGCCGGAGGGCACCACCCCCAACCCGCCAGGGUUCCGGUCGGACCGCGUGGUCGUCUUCUACCAUACGCAGGAUGAGCUCGGCCGCCGCAUCGCAACCGUCCCUGUCAUCGGAUAG